rnacentral:rRNA from 1 species
CUGAAACCGUGUACGUACAAGCAGUGGGAGCACGCUUAGGCGUGUGACUGCGUACCUUUUGUAUAAUGGGUCAGCGACUUAUAUUCUGUAGCAAGGUUAACCGAAUAGGGGAGCCGAAGGGAAACCGAGUCUUAACUGGGCGUUAAGUUGCAGGGUAUAGACCCGAAACCCGGUGAUCUAGCCAUGGGCAGGUUGAAGGUUGGGUAACACUAACUGGAGGACCGAACCGACUAAUGUUGAAAAAUUAGCGGAUGACUUGUGGCUGGGGGUGAAAGGCCAAUCAAACCGGGAGAUAGCUGGUUCUCCCCGAAAGCUAUUUAGGUAGCGCCUCGUGAAUUCAUCUCCGGGGGUAGAGCACUGUUUCGGCAAGGGGGUCAUCCCGACUUACCAACCCGAUGCAAACUGCGAAUACCGGAGAAUGUUAUCACGGGAGACACACGGCGGGUGCUAACGUCCGUCGUGAAGAGGGAAACAACCCAGACCGCCAGCUAAGGUCCCAAAGUCAUGGUUAAGUGGGAAACGAUGUGGGAAGGCCCAGACAGCCAGGAUGUUGGCUUAGAAGCAGCCAUCAUUUAAAGAAAGCGUAAUAGCUCACUGGUCGAGUCGGCCUGCGCGGAAGAUGUAACG